rnacentral:rRNA from 1 species
UGGGGAAUAUUGCACAAUGGGCGAAAGCCUGAUGCAGCAACGCCGCGUGAGCGAAGAAGGCCUUUGGGUCGUAAAGCUCUGUCCGGGGGGAAGAUAAUGACGGUACCCCCGGAGGAAGCCCCGGCUAACUACGUGCCAGCAGCCGCGGUAAUACGUAGGGGGCAAGCGUUAUCCGGAAUUAUUGGGCGUAAAGAGUGCGUAGGUGGUUCUUUAAGCGUGAGGUGAAAGGCAAUGGCUUAACUAUUGUAAGCCUUGCGAACUGGAGAACUUGAGUGCAGGAGAGGAAAGCGGAAUUCCUAGUGUAGCGGUGAAAUGCGUAGAUAUUAGGAGGAACACCAGUGGCGAAGGCGGCUUUCUGGACUGUAACUGACACUGAGGCACGAAAGCGUGGGGAGCAAACA